rnacentral:rRNA from 1 species
CCCCGCCAGAGCACUACGAGCUACAGCUUAAAACUCAAAGGACUUGGCGGUGCCCUACACCCACCUAGAGGAGCCUGUUCUAUAAUUGAUAAUCCCCAAUGAACCUCACCGCCUUUUGCAAGUACAGCCUAUAUACCACCGUCACAAGCCCACCCUAUCAAAGGAGUAAUAGUAGGCUAAAUAAUUAAAAAUAAAAAAGUCAGGUCAAGGUGUAGCAUAUAAGUCGGAAAGAAAUGGGCUACAUUUUCUUCAAAGAAAACACGGAAAACCUUCAUGAAAUAUGGUUUGAAGGAGGAUUUAGCAGUAAAAAGAGAGUAGAGAGCUCUUUUAAAAUUGGCAAUAGGACGAGCACACACCGCCCGUCACCCUCUUUAAAAGAUCACAAACACUUUAGAAGAGGAAAGUCGUAACAUGGUAAGUCUACCGGAAGGUGGCCUUGGAA